rnacentral:tRNA from 1 species
GCAUCCAUGGCUGAAUGGCUAAAGCACCCAACUCAUAAUUGGCGAAUUCGUGGGUUCAAUUCCUACUGGAUGCA